rnacentral:rRNA from 1 species
GACGAACCGAGCGAACGUUGUUCGGAAUCACUGGGCGUAAAGGGUGCGUAGGCGGGUCUUUAAGUCAGGGGUGAAAUCCUGGAGCUCAACUCCAGAACUGCCUUUGAUACUGAAGAUCUUGAGUUCGGGAGAGGUGAGUGGAACUGCGAGUGUAGAGGUGAAAUUCGUAGAUAUUCGCAAGAACACCAGUGGCGAAGGCGGCUCACUGGCCCGUUACCGACGCUCAGGCGCGACAGCGUGGGGAGCAAACAGG